GGAUCGUACAUACUACAUGGAUAACUGUAGUAAUUCUAGAGCUAAUACAUGCCACUAAGCCCUGACCCGCAAGGGGACGGGUGGAUUUAUUAGAACAGAACCAACCGGUUGUGGCUUCGGUCAUGGCCGUUGUACUCUGUGAUGACUCUGGAUAACUUUACUGAUCGCAGUCGGCCUUGUGUCGGCGACGGAUCUUUCAAAUGUCUGCCCUAUCAAUUGUCGAUGGUAGGUGACCUGCCUACCAUGGUGAUAACGGGUAACGGGGAAUCAGGGUUCGAUUCCGGAGAGGGAGCCUGAGAAACGGCUACCACUUCUAAGGAAGGCAGCAGGCACGCAAAUUACCCAAUCCCGGCACGGGGAGGUAGUGACGAUAAAUACGGAUACGGGACUCAAAAGAGGCUCCGUAAUUCGAAUGAGUACAAUUUAAAUCCUUUAACGAGGACCAACUGGAGGGCAAGUCUGGUGCCAGCAGCCGCGGUAACUCCAGCUCCAGAAGCGUAUAUUAAAGUUGUUGCAGUUAAAAAGCUCGUAGUUGGAUCUGGGUCGCAUGGCUACGCGCCGUUGCUUGUGAUCUCGGUUUGGUUACGACCGGAUUGAGUUCAUGAGUCGGUGUAGUGGUUGUGCAGCCUUUCUGCCGUGUCUGUUUUACAGGUGCUGGCGGAUUGUUGGGUUCGCCCUUCAGUCUGUCGGCAUGCUUCCGAAUGCCUUUAAACGGGUGUUGGGGGCGGACGGCACGUUUACUU
rnacentral:rRNA from 1 species